rnacentral:rRNA from 1 species
GACGAACGCUGGCGGCGUGCCUAAUACAUGCAAGUAGGACGCAGUUGCGAACGGGUGAGUAACGCGUAGGUAACUGCACAUUCGAGGGGGAUAACUAUUGGAAACGAUAGCUAAUACCGCAUACUAGUAGAUGGACCUGCGUUGCAUUAGCUAGUAGGUAGGGUAAUGGCCUGCCUAGGCGACGAUACAUAGCCGACCUGAGAGUGGGAGCGGCGACACUGUGACUGAGACACGACCCAGACUCCUACGGGAGGCAGAAGUAGAGAAUCUUCGGCAAUGGGGGGAACCCUGACCGAGCAACGCCGCGUGAGUGAAGAAGGUGUUCGGAUCGUAAAGCUCUGUUGUUAAGGAGGCGGUACUUAACCAGAAAGGGACGGCUAACUACGUGCCAGCAGCCGCGGUAAUUC